rnacentral:rRNA from 1 species
GCUGAACGCUGGCGGCAGGCCUAACACAUGCAAGUCGAACGGUAACAGGAAGCAGCUUGCUGCUUCGCUGACGAGUGGCGGACGGGUGAGUAAUGUCUGGGAAGCUGCCUGAUGGAGGGGGAUAACUACUGGAAACGGUAGCUAAUACCGCAUAAUGUCGCAAGACCAAAGAGGGGGACCUUCGGGCCUCUUGCCAUCGGAUGUGCCCAGAUGGGAUUAGCUUGUUGGUGGGGUAACGGCUCACCAAGGCGACGAUCCCUAGCUGGUCUGAGAGGAUGACCAGCCACACUGGGACUGAGACACGGUCCAGACUCCUACGGGAGGCAGCAGUGGGGAAUAUUGCACAAUGGGCGCAAGCCUGAUGCAGCCAUGCCGCGUGUAUGAAGAAGGCCUUCGGGUUGUAAAGUACUUUCAGCGGGGAGGAAGGGAGUAAAGUUAAUACCUUUGCUCAUUGACGUUACCCGCAGAAGAAGCACCGGCUAACUCCGUG